rnacentral:rRNA from 1 species
UACAGAGGGUGCGAGCGUUGUCCGGAAUCACUGGGCGUAAAGGGCGCGUAGGUGGCGACCCAAGUCCAUGGUGAAAGCUCGAUGCUCAACAUCGAGUCGGCCACGGAUACUGGGUUGCUGGAGCACUGUAGAGGCAGAUGGAAUUCCGGGUGUAGCGGUGAAAUGCGCAGAUAUCAGGAGGAACACCGGUGGCGAAGGCGGUUCUCUGGGCAUUACCUGACGCUGAGGAGCGAAAGUGUGGGGAGCGAACAGG